rnacentral:rRNA from 1 species
UACGAAGGGGGCUAGCGUUGCUCGGAAUCACUGGGCGUAAAGGGUGCGUAGGCGGGUCUUUUAAGUCAGGGGUGAAAUCCUGGAGCUCAACUCCAGAACUGCCUUUGAUACUGAGGAUCUUGAGUUCGGGAGAGGUGAGUGGAACUGCGAGUGUAGAGGUGAAAUUCGUAGAUAUUCGCAAGAACACCAGUGGCGAAGGCGGCUCACUGGCCCGAUACUGACGCUGAGGCACGAAAGCGUGGGGAGCAAACAGGGAU